AGUGUAACGGAUAGAAAAUAGUGAAUUAUACUUCAUGUUGAAAUAUAGUGUAACUUAUCUAGGUCAAGUCCCAGCAGGAGAGGGCAUCCCCAGUUUUGGGAUGUGACGUAGGACCAGAUAGACCAUGUCCAUAUUUGGUACAGAGGAGCCCUUGGUUCCUUUUAUGGACAUAGAAGAACUAGGAACUCUAAGAAAGUACCUGGUGAUAAUAGUCUUAGGAAUGUAUGAGUAAUAUUACGUAGGAGGACUUCCUGUCCAGUUACAUAUAAAAAGACACCAAAGUUCCCUGACUUGGUCAGUCUGUUCGAGUCGGCCAGUCAGUGUGUUUGUGAGACCAAGAAGUGCAGUCAGUUGUAGAAGGAAGUCUGCCCGUCUGUUUGUGUUCGACUGGUCAAGUAAGUCAGAGCUAUUGUAUACACAACGCAAUGUCCUAAUGUGUUAAUUGUUGAUAGUGUAACAGUUAUAGUGUUGUUUCCGUCUUAACUUGUCUUGGUAAUAAACUGCUAUACACAAGAAUACAGAA